GCUUAUUAGGAAAAUGUAUAAAAUACUCAAAACAAUUCCAAAACAAUGUUUAUAUAUCAUCCAAAAUAAUUAAUUCAACCUACCUGUACUGCCAUAUGGCAUGUUAGGUCAACAAAUUUAUUUACCCUAAAUAUAGCAUACUAGUUAUCAAUGUAUGUGUGUUGUAAAAUCUAAGUGCUUUGAUUGAUGUCUACUUCUUAAUAAAGGUGUUAUCUCCCAC
rnacentral:lncRNA from 1 species